AGUGAACGCUGGCGGCGUGCUUAACACAUGCAAGUCGAACGAGAACGGGUUAUAGCUUGCUAUAAUUGUCAGCUAAGUGGCGCACGGGUGAGUAAUGUAUAGGUAAUAUGCCUCUUACUAAGGGAUAACAAUUGGAAACGAUUGCUAAUACCUUAUACUCCUUGUUAACAGCAGUUAAUAAGGGAAAGAUUUAUUGGUAAGAGAUUAGCCUGUAUUGUAUCAGUUAGUUGGUGGGGUAAUGGCUUACCAAGACUAUGACACAUAACUGGUUUGAGAGGAUGAUCAGUCACACUGGAACUGAGACACGGUCCAGACUCCUACGGGAGGCAGCAGUGGGGAAUAUUGCACAAUGGACGAAAGUCUGAUGCAGCAACGCCGCGUGGAGGAUGACACAUUUCGGUGCGUAAACUCCUUUUAUAUGAGAAGAUAAUGACGGUAUUAUAUGAAUAAGCACCGGCUAACUCCGUGCCAGCCGCCGCUGUAACAC
rnacentral:rRNA from 1 species